rnacentral:tRNA from 1 species
GAAGUAUGUAAUAUUAAGCUGCUAACUUAAUAAUAGUGAAUAAAUUUCAUUAAUACUUUU